CUUAAAAGGUUUCAUAGUCAAUGAUAUUACUAAUCCUUUACAUAUUCAAGACUAUAAAACCCUGCAAGAGAUAUCCAGUUUCAGGUUAUGUUUUCUAAUAAAAAUCAGUCUCUCUUCUUAAGAUGGUCUUAUUUUCAUGAUACCACUUAUAACAAUAGGUCAAUGAACUGACAGGUCAUCAUAACAACAGGUCACCAUAACAUUCAACACCAUCCAACCGAUCAUACUCAAAGACAAGCCCACAGAGAUGGGCGUGGAUCCUACCUGUGUUUCCUGGAUCACAAAUUGCCUGACAGGAAUCACACAGUUCUUCACGCUGGGGAACUGUGUUUCUGGGCCUUAUUGAGAAGUACAGGGGUUCCACAACGGACGGUCCUGGCUCCAUUCCUAUUGACAGGGUAUACACCAGACUUCAAAUACAGCACUGAGUCCUGAAAUUUUUGUAGAGGGCGCUAUGACCACAUUUUUGUUGGAAAUCCAUUUUGACAGUGGAAAACUUUUUGUUUAACUUUGAGUCCAACGUAGGUGUCAUUGAAUCCCUCGGUUUAGGUCAAACACAGGAGCUGAACUUACAUUUUGAAAUUUUGUAGAGGGAGAAAUGAAGGAAUUUUUUGAUGGGUCCCCAAUUUUUACAUUGGAACCCAUUUCUUUUCCUCUUGGGGUUCAAGAUAAGUGUCAUUGAAUCCACUUGUCUGGACCACAGGAGCGGGUUUACGUUUUGAAAUUUUGAAGGGGGCGCUAUGGGGCCUUUUUAUGAUGGAUAUCCAUUAUGACAGUUAAACCCUUUUUGUUCGUCUUGAGGUCAAACAUAAGUGUCAUCAAUUUCAUAGGUUUAGGUCAAACACAGGAGCGUGGUUCACAUUAAAGAAAUUUGAAGGUGGCGCCAUAGAGCCAUGUUUUGAUGGAUCUCCAUUUUGAUAUUCAAACUGUUUUUGUUCGUGUUAAGGUUCAACUUCAGUGUCACUAAUUCCACAGGUUUUGGACGCACACCAGAGCAGGGCUUUCAUUUAGAAAUGUUGUAGAGAACGCAGUCGUGCCAUUUUCAGUUGGAUCCAAGAUAAGUGUCUGUUAGUCCAUUGGUCUGAGUCACUCAAAGAAGCAGGGGUUUCAUUUUGAAAUUAUGAAGGGGGUGCUAUGUAGCUAUUUCUUGAAGGACCUCAAUUUUGACAUUGAACCCAUUUUUGUUUGUCUUGAGGUCAAACAUAAGUGACAUCAAUUCCAAAGGUUUUGGUCAAACACAGGAGCGGGGCUUACUUUUUUUUUUAAUUUGAAGCUGGCACUCUGGAGCUAUUUGAAGUUGAUUCUCCAUUUUGAUGCUGGAGCCCUUUAUGUUCAACUUUCGGUUUGUCAUAAUUGUACUUUAUUUCAAAAGUUUGGUUCGUACACAGAAAAAGGGCUUUUAUUUUUCAAUUGGGUAGGGGGCAAUAUGUGACCAUUGAUGGUUGGUUCUCCAUUUUGACAUUUUCUUCAUCACAGGGUGAUGAGACUCAUUUGUAAUAAUGGAAAAACAGCACCAUCUAGUGGUGUGCUUCAGUGACUUCCCCACAUAAAAAUGUAGAAAAUAUUACAGAGCUGAAGCUAAAAUACUUGGAUGAAGGUAAAAAUAAAAAAAAUUGCUAAAAUUGUAUGUCUUAAGUGAAUUACAAGGAAAAAUGAUCAGUCGAGGUGCUUCAGAUAGACAAAUGCCUAAAAAUGUAUGUAUUACAACCUCCCCGUGAAAUGUGGAAGUACUCAAAAGAAGUUUACAGUCAGAAUGUAACCAUAGUAAUUUUUGAUUAUGGUAUGACAGCACCAUCUAGUGGGGUGUACUUUUCACCUUUCUACCAUUUAUACUUUUUGCAAUAUUUCACUUUUUCUGUACAAUUAGAAGUGAUCAUGAGAGUGCCAGAAUUCUUAAGAUGGUCUUAUUUUCAUGAUACCACUUGGAAAAACUGCGCCAGGUAAAGAAGUUCAGACGGUAUCCACUUCACCCAUGGUGGAGCACUUCUCAUGUGUUGUGUGCUUGUCGAUUUCCUACACACUCUGUCCGCACGCACUACUCCAUCUUGCGGUGCGCUUCAGCUUGGUAAGUUAGUAACUGAAGCACACUAUAGGGUAGUGUUGUGCCGCUACCAGUGACUAUGGUUACAUGCUGCUGACUGCAAACCUCUUUUGAAUAUUUCAACAUUUCAUGGGGAGUUUGUAAUAUAUAAAUCUCUAGGCACUUGUCUUUCCAAAGCACCUAGACUGAUCUUUAUUUAUUUUUAUUCACAAAAGUCUUACAACUUUUUCUUCACUUGAGCAUUUUUUACAUUCAUAAAAGUAUUUAAAAUUCUGCUCUCUAUACUUUUAAGAUUAAUACCACUUCUUCAUACUUUCAGAAUUUUACAUUCAUAUACCUUUUUUAUACCACAGCUCUGUAACAAUUCUAUAUCGACAAAUAUUGACAGGUCUUACAACUUUGUCUUCACGUGAGCAUUUUUUACAUUCAUACAAGUUUUUAAACUUCUGCUCUUAAUACUUUUGAGAUCAAUACCACCUAUUUAGCACUUUAAUAAUUUUGCAUUUAUACAGCUUUUAGCUACAGCUCUGUAACACUCUUUAUAUUUAUAUGUAGGGCAGCAACUGAAGCUCACCACUAGAUGCGGCUGUCAUACCAUAAUCAAAUAUUUCUAUGGUGAUGUGCUGACUGCAAACAUCUUUUUUAUGUAGGGCAGUGACAGAAGCACACCACCAGAUGGUGCUGUUUUUCCAUUAUUACAAAUCACUACGGUUACAUGCUGCUGACUGCAAAUAUCUUUUCAGUAUUCACACAUGGAGCGGGGCCAUUGUUUUGUUUAGGCAUUAGCCGUUUUGUUUUGAAUGGACUCUCAAAGGCUUAAAAAAUUGUUUUUUGGAUAAAAAAAUGAACUAUUUUUGAUCAGGGCAGAAGUUAAUUGAGAGAUGUGUGAAAAAAAAUCUGGAAAAAAUAUGAAUCCAAUAUGUUUUUACAGCAGUCGAUGUCAGAGGCUUUUUUUAGCCACUGAGCAUUAACAAAGGAUGUUUUUUGUUAAUCUGAUCCUACAAAAAAACUUAAAAGGUUUCAUAGUCAAUGAUAUUACUAAUCCUUUACAUAUUCAAGACUAUAAAACCCUGCAAGAGAUAUCCAGUUUCAGGUCAUGUUUUCUAAUAAAAAUCAGUCUCUCUUCUUAAGAUGGUCUUAUUUUUUUAUGAUACCACUUAUAACAAUAGGUCAAUGAACUGACAGGUCAUCAUAACAACAGGUCACCAUAACAUUCAACACCAUCCAACCAAUCAUACUAAAAGACAAGCCCACAGAGAUGGGCGUGGAUCCUACCUGUGUUUCCUGGAUCACAAAUUGCCUGACAGGAAUCACACAGUUCUUCACGCUGGGGAACUGUGUUUCUGGGCCUUAUUGAGAAGUACAGGGGUUCCACAACGGAUGGUCCUGGCUCUAUUCCUAUUGACAGGGUAUACACCAGACUUCAAAUACAGCACUGAGUCCUGAAAUUUUUGUAGAGGGCGCUAUGACCACAUUUUUGUUGGAAAUCCAUUUUGACAGUGGAAAACUUUUUGUUUAACUUUGAGUCCAACGUAGGUGUCAUUAAAUCCCUCGGUUUAGGUCAAACACAGGAGCUGAACUUACAUUUUGAAAUUUUGUAGAGGGAGAAAUGAAGGAAUUUUUUGAUGGGUCCCCAAUUUUUACAUUGGAACCCAUUUCUUUUCCUCUUGGGAUUCAAGAUAAGUGUCAUUGAAUCCACUUGUCUGGACCACAGGAGCGGGUUUACGUUUUGAAAUUUUGAAGGGGGCGCUAUGGGGCCUUUUUAUGAUGGAUAUCCAUUAUGACAGUUAAACCCUUUUUGUUCAUCUUGAGGUCAAACAUAAGUGUCAUCAGUUUCAUAGGUUUAGGUCAAACACAGGAACGUGGUUCACAUUAAAGAAAUUUGAAGGUGGUGCCAUAGAGCCAUGUUUUGAUGGAUCUCCAUUUUGAUAUUCAAACUGUUUUUGUUCGUGUUAAGGUUCAACUUCAGUGUCACUAAUUCCACAGGUUUUGGACGCACACCAGAGCAGGGCUUUCAUUUAGAAAUGUUGUAGAGAACGCAGUCGUGCCAUUUUCAGUUGGAUCCAAGAUAAGUGUCUGUUAGUCCAUUGGUCUGAGUCACUCAAAGAAGCAGGCGUUUCAUUUUGAAAUUAUGAAGGGGGUGCUAUGUAGCUAUUUCUUGAAGGACCUCAAUUUUGACAUUGAACCCAUUUUUGUUUGUCUUGAGGUCAAACAUAAGUGACAUCAAUUCCAAAGGUUUUGGUCAAACACAGGAGUGGGGCUUACUUUUUUUUAAAAUUUGAAGGUGGCACUCUGGAGCUAUUUGAAGUUGAUUCUCCAUUUUGAUGCUGGAGCCCUUUAUGUUCAACUUUUGGUUUGUCAUAAUUGUACUUUAUUUCAAAAGUUUGGUUCGUACACAGAAAAAGGGCUUUUAUUUUUCAAUUGGGUAGGGGGCAAUAUGUGACCAUUGAUGGUUGGUUCUCCAUCUUGACAUUUUCUUCAUCACAGGGUGAUGAGACUCAUUUGUAAUAAUGGAAAAACAGCACCAUCUAGUGGUGUGCUUCAGUGACUUCCCCACAUAAAAAUGUAGAAAAUAUUACAGAGCUGAAGCUUAAAUACUUGGAUGAAGGUAAAAAUAAAAAAAAUUGCUAAAAUUGUAUGUCUUAUGUGAAUUACAAGGAAAAAUGAUCAGUCGAGGUGCUUUGGAUAGACAAAUGCCUAAAAAUGUAUAUAUUACAACCUCGCCGUAAAAUGUGGAAGUACUCAAAAGAAGUUUGCAGUCAGAAUGUAACCAUAGUAAUUUUUGAUUAUGGUAUGACAGCACCAUCUAGUGGGGUGUACUUUUCACCUUUCUACCAUUUAUACUUUUUGCAAUAUUUCACUCUUUCUGUACAAUUAGAAGUGAUCAUGAGAGUGCCUGAAUUCUUAAGAUGGUCUUAUUUUCAUGAUACCACUCGGAAAAACUGCGCCAGGUAAAGAAGUUCAGACGGUAUCCACUUCACCCAUGGUGGAGCACUUCUCAUGUGUUGUGUGCUUGUCGAUUUCCUACACACCCUGUCUGCACGCACUACUCCAUCUUGCGGUGUGCUUCAGCUUGGUAAGUUAGUAACUGAAGCACACUUUAGGGUAGUGUUGUGCCGCUACCAGUGACUAUGGUUACACGCUGCUGACUGCAAACCUCUUUUGAAUAUUUCAACAUUUCAUGGGGAGUUUGUAAUAAAUAAAUCUCUAGGCACUUGUCCUUCCAAAGCACCUAGACUGAUCUUUAUUUAUUUUUAUUCACAAAAGUCUUACAACUUUUUCUUCACUUGAGCCUUUUUUACAUUCAUAAAAGUAUUUAAAAUUUGUACCCUUUAUACUUUUGAGAUUAAUACCACUUCUUCAUACUUUCAUAAUUUUACAUUCAGAGGCCUUUUUUUUGCUUCAGCUCUGUAACAAUUUCUAUAUCUAUAUGUAGGGCAGUCAUUGAAGCACACCACUAGAUGGUGCUGUCAUACUAUAAUCAAAAAUUACUAUGGUUACACACUGACUGCAAACAUUUUUUGAGUACUUCCAUUUUUCAUGGGGAGUUUGUCAUACAUCAAUUUCUAGGCACUUGUCUUUUUAAAGCACCUAGACUGAUCUUUUUUCCUUUUUUUUACAUAAGUCAUACAACUUUUUCUUCACUUGAGCAUAUUUUACAUUCAUACAAGUAUUAACAACUAACAGCUCUUAAUACUUUUGACACUUAUUUUGCACUUUCAUGAUUUUAUAUGAAUACACCUUUUUUUGCUACAGCUCUGUAACACUUUCCUAAUGUAAAUGUAGGGCAGUCACUGAAACACAUGUUUAGCACUUUUCAUUAUUUUCUUUCACAUGUCUUUCUCAGCUGCAGCUCUCUCACACUUUGUAUAUUUAUAUGUAGGGCAGUCACUGAAGCACACCACUAGAUGGUGCUGUCAUACCAUAAUCAAAAAUUACUUUGGUUACAUGCUGACUGCAAAUAUCUUUUGAGUACUUCCACAUUUGAUAGGGAGUUUGUAUUACACACAUUUUUAGGCACUUGUCUUUCCAAAGCACCUACACUGAUCAUUAUUUCUGUUUAUUCACAUAAGUCAUACAACUUUUUCUUCACUUGAGCAUUUUUAACAUUCAUACAAGUAGUUAACUUUGAGCUUUUAAUACUUUGACAUUAAUACCACUUACUCAGCACUUUAAUAAUUUUACAUUUUUACACCUUUCUUUAAUUUCAGAUCUGGAACACUUUCUAUAUUUAAAUGUAGGGCAGUCACUGGAGCACAGCACUAGAUGGUGCUGUCAUACCAUAAUGAAAAAUUACGAUGGCAACAUGCUGACUGCAAACAUCUUUCGAGUAUUUCCACAUUUCUUGGGGAGUUUGUUAUACAUAACUUUUUCGGUAAUUGUCUUUCCAAAGCACCUAAACUGAUUAUUACUUAUGUUCAUUUACAUAAGACACACAAUUUUAGCAUUUUCCACAUUCAUAAAAGUAUAUUAAAUGUAGCUCUUUAAUACUUUGACAACACCACUUAUUCAGCGCUUAUAAUUUUACAUUCAUACGCCUUUUUUAACUGCAGCUUUUUUCAGUUUUCACACAUUGAGCAGGGCAAUUGUUAUACAUUUAAUUUUUGGCAUUGAUUUUUUCAAUGCACUUCUACUAAUAAUCAUUUCUGUAAAUUAACAAUACUCAUCUGACUCUUUUUUAACUUAAGGUUACCAAAAAUUUCAGCAUGUAUAACACUGCUCUAAUUGCUGCUUUCCUACAAUUUCAUGCAUGUUUAACUGCUGCUAUGCCAAAAUUUCUACAAACAUACAAGUUCUUCUUCUCCACCUCUUCAACAGUUUUUCCAUUCAUACUUUUCUUCUUUUGUAGCAGUUCUGCGUGGCUGUCUCAGCACUCAGCACGUCCAUGCAUCUUUUUGCAAUUAAAUGCAAUUUUUCUUGUUUCAAAAUGUUAGCAAAAUGUGUGACUUAAACUAAAAGUAGAUUGAUAGCGCCCUCUACAAAUCGUCAAAAGGAAUGCUCUGCCCCCUUGUGUGACCCAAACCGAUAGAAUUAAUCACAACUAUUUUGAACCCCAUCAGGAACAAAAAGGGUCCGUAUGUCGAAAAGGAGAUCCAACUAAGAAUCGCUCCAUAGCGCCCUGCUCCUGUGUAUGAACCAAACUUAUGAAAUCAAUGACACUUUUGUUGGACCUUAAGCUGAACAAAAUGGGCUCCUGUGACAAAAUGGACCUCAUCAAAAAUGGCUCCAUAGCAACCCGUGACAAAAUGUCAAUUCCUCUCUUCGUAUUUCAAUGCAUUUUACGGCAGUCUGUGUAGUCCGCAUGUUGCACCACCCAUUCUACCUACCCGAUCUGUCUUAAUAAUAAUAAUAAUACAUUUUAUUUGAAGCGCCUUUCACGUCACUCAAGGACACUUUACAGAACAUAUAAAAACAAUAAUAAAACACUAUUAACAAUUAAAAUCAUUAAUCAUCAAACAGUUAAAAUCAACAAAGCAACAUUAAACAUGAACAACAGCAAAGGAAUAAAUAAAGAAAUUAAUAAUACCAAUUGAAAUUUAAUUUAAAAAAAGUGGGUUAGGGGUGGUGGGAGGGAUAGGCCAGUUUAAACAGGUGUGUUUUGAGUUUGGACUUGAAGAGGGGGAGGGAGUCUAUGUUGCGGAUGUAUGAUGGUAAAGAGUUCCAGAGUCGGGGGGCAGAGCGACUGAAAGCUCUGCCCCCCAUAGUGCUGAGGUGAACAGGGGGCACAGAGAGGUGGAGAGAGGAAGAGGAACGGAGGUGGCGUGUUGGAGUGGCGAUGUGGAGGAGGUCAGAUAGGUAAGGAGGGGCGAGGUUGUGGAUGGCUUUGAAGGUAUACAGGAGGAUUUUGAACUGGAUUCGUAGAGGGACCGGGAGCCAGUGAAGCUGCUGAAGGAUGGGGGUGAUGUGGUGGGACGAAGGGGUUUUGGUGAUGAUACGGGCAGCGGAGUUGUGGACCAGUUGAAGUUUAUGGAGAGACGUGUAAGGGAGACCGAAGAGGAGGGAGUUGCAGUAAUCCAGACGGGAGGUGACGAGACUGUGGACGAGGAUGGAGGUGGUGUUGGGGGAGAGGGAGGGGCGGAGACGAUUGAUGUGGUGGAGGUGGAAAUAGGCAGUGCGAGUGGUAAGGCUGAUGUGGGAUUUAAAAGAAAGAGAACUGUCAAGGACGACACCCAGACUCUUGACCUGAGGUGAGGGGGAAACUGAGGAACUGUCGAUGGGAAGGGAGAGACUGUCAACUUUGGAUAGGGUGGAUUUGGAACCUACAAGAAGAAUUUCUGUUUUCUGACUGUUUAAUUGGAGAAAGUUGGAGGUGAACCAGGAUUUAAUUUCAGAUAGGCAGGUGAUGAGGGAGGUGGGUGGGAGGGUGGAGUUUGGUGAGCUGGAGAGGUAGAGCUGGGUGUCGUCAGCGUAGCAGUGGUAUUGAAUGUUGAAUUUAUGGAAGAUGGAACCAAGGGGGAGGAGGUAGAUGAUGAACAGCAGGGGAGGGGUCGGACUUGAAUGAUUUGAGCUGGAUGAACUGUGUGCGGUCUGAGAGGUAAGAGUGGAACCAGCGGAGGGGAGUGUGGGUGAUGCCGAUGGAGGAGAGUCUACGAAGGAGGAUGGGAUGGGAGAUAGUGUCGAGGAGGAUGAGGAUGGAAAAUGAACCGGAGUCAGAUGCAGUGAGAAGGUCGUUAGCAGUGCGGUUUCGGUGCUGUGGCGGGGGCGGAAACCAGAUUGGAAGGGGUCGUAGAGGGAGUUCUGGGUUAGGUGGGUGUGAAGUUGGCUGGCGACGACCUUUUCCAUUAUUUUGGCUAUAAACGGUAGAUUUGAGAUGGGGCGGAGGUUGUUGAAGUUAUUGGGGUCAGAGCCAGGUUUUUUAAGGAUGGGGUGAUGGCUGCUGUCUUGAGGGAUGCGGGAACAGUUCCAGUGGUGAGUGAGGAGUGAAUGAUGGCAGAUAUGAGAGGGAGCACAGAUGGGAGGCAUGAUUUGAGCAGUGUGGUGGGAAGGGGAUCCAGCUGACAGGUUGAGGGUUUGGAUUUCUGGAUGAGAUCAUAGAUUUCAGAGUCAUUGGGGAGAAGAAAACUGGAGAAGGGCUGGUGGUGUGGCAGGGGAGUAGGUGAGUUUGGAGAGGGUCCAGGGGGAAGAGAACCUGAGUGUAGUUGUUUAUGGAUGUUGGAGAUUUUGUCAUUAAAAAACUGCAUUAGGGUGUUGCAGGUGUCGGUUGAAUACAGGUGGGGAGGGAGGGAGUCCGGUGGCUGGAGAGAUUUGUUGAGGAGAGUGAAUAGUGAUCUGGUGUUUCCUUUGUUGGAGAUGAUCUGGGCGGAGUAGUGGUCUGUUUUUGCGUGAGAAAUUGAGUCCUUGUAGCAGCGUAUGUGGUUAAUGUACAUUUCUUUGUGAAUGGAGAGUCCAGUUUUCUUGUAAAGUCUUUCCAGUUGGCGGCCUUUGGUUUUCAUGGAGCGGAGGUGGGGGGUGUACCAGGGUGCAGUUGUGGAGAAGGAAACAGAGCGUGUUUUGAGUGGAGCGAGGGAAUUGAGGAUGCUAUUUAAACAGGUGUUGUAAUGAGAUGUUAUGUCAUCAGGGGUAGUGUAACAGUCCGGGAUCACAAUAUUCAUAAUCUUAGAGCGCAGAGUGUCAAUGUUUAUGUUCUUAAGGUUGCAGAAUGUAAUGAGGCGUGGUGAAUAAACUCUAGAGAGGGAGAGCGGAAUACUGAAGGAGAUGAGGAGGUGGUCACUUACGUGGAGAUCAUCAGCUGUGCAGUUGGAUGGGAUGAGGCCAGAGCAGCAGAGUAAAUCCAGAGUGUGUCCUUUAGUGUGUGUCGGGAAGUUGAUGAAUUGAUGGAGUCCAAAACUGUCCAGGCAGGAUGAGAAGUCUCUGGUGAGGGGGAGGUUGGUGUUGUCAAUAUGGAUAUUGAAGUCCCCCAGUAUUAUUAUGUUUGGUGAGAGUGUGCAUAGAUGGGUGAGUAGAACCGAAAAGUCAUUUAUGGUGGGAGUGGGACCAGGGAGUGUAAUUGCCAGAAGUUCGUGUGAGGAGAAAAGAGGCAAGGACAGCGGUAGAACUUGCGCAUGUGCAAAUAUACGUUACCUUAAAAAAACUUUAAACAAACAGCCAAUUGAUUUCGGACAUCAGCUGACUAGCUAGCAGAAGGCUCCAAGGCCAAUAUCAUUGCAUUCGCUACAGCUCCUGCCCAGGAUUGUGAAACCUUUUGAAACACAGAGAGCACCACCUGACCAAAAUCCUGGAUCUCUGACUCAUCAAAGUAUCGAGAGGGGAUGCUCUGGAAGUAUGUGGCUGCACAUGGUGCACCCUCCCUCGUCCUCGGAAAGGGCCACCACCCGGUCAAAAUCCUGGAUCUCUGACUUUCAAAAUAUCGAGGGGAGAUGCUCUGGAGGUGUGUGUCUGCCUAUGGUGCACCCUGCUCCGGCCUCGGAGAGCGCCACCACCCGGUCAAAAUCCUGGAUCUCUGACUUUCAAAGUAUCAACAAGAAAUGCUCUGGAGGUGUGUGGCCGCACAUGGUGCACCCUUCCCCGGCCUCAGAGAGCGCCAACACCUGGUCAAAAUCCUGGAUCUCUGACUUUUCAAUUAUCAAGGGGAAAUGCUCUGGGGUUGUGUGGCCGCACAUGGUGCACCCUUCCCCGUCCUUAUAGAGAUGCACCAUCCUGUCAAAAUUCUGGAUUUCUGACUUUCUAUGUAUCGAGGGGAAAUGCUUUGGAGGUGUGUGGCCACAUAUGGUGCACUCUUUCCUGGCCUCGGAGAGCGCCACCACCUGUUUAAAAUCCUGGAUCUCAGACUCUAAGUAUCAAGGGCAAGGGGGGAGGGGGGGGGGGACUCUGUAAGUGUGUGGCCGCAGAUGGUGCACCCUUCCACGUCCACAGAGAGUGCCACCACCCGGUCUAAAUUCUUGGUCUCUAACUUUCAAAAUAUUGAAGGGAGAUGCUCUGGAGGUGUGUGUCUGCCUAUGGGUGCACCCUUCCACGUCUUCGGAGAGCGCCACCACCCGGUCAAAAUGGAUCUCCAACUUUCAAAAUAUCGAGGGGAGAUGCUCUGGAGGUGUGUGUCUGCCUAUGGUGCACCCUGCUCCAGCCUCGGAGAGCGCCACCACCCGGUCAAAAUCCUGGAUCUCUGACAUUCAAAUUAUCAAGGGGAAAUGCUCUGGGGUUGUGUGGCUGCACAUGGUGCACCCUCCCUCGGCCUCAGAGAGCGCCAUCACACAGUCAAAAUCCUGGAUCUCUGACUUUUCAAUGUAUUGAGGGGGGAUGCUCCAGAGAUAUGUGGCCACUCGAAGGGCAGCCACACACUUCCAGAGGAUUUUAUGUAGUGUGUGAUCUAGGGCUGCACGAUAUGAGAUUUUGGUCAUAUCCCGAUAUAGCUCAUUUUAUAUCCCGAUACGAUAUACAUCACGAUAUAGUACAUUUUUUGUAAAUUCAAUUGAUGCAUAGUUUAUAUAAAAUUGCUGCGUGGAAAUGUAGUUUAAAUGAUAUAUUAAACAAGGUACGUUGAUAAACAGGACUUCUUUUAUUUAGAGCCCUCUGAAAAAUAUUGAAAACACUUUUCAAUAAUUCAACAUUUGUGUAAACAACAAUUAGUUACACAAGGUUUAAUAAUGAAACGAACAUCCAUACAUUACAUAGGCUAGCUCAUUCACAUGACAUCAGCAUGUAAUGUAGAACGGAUUUUGAGUAACUAAAUAUUUGAGUGAGGGAGGAGAGAGCACGUGGAGGGGUUUAACACAGCCGAGACCUGUAUUGACCAAUAACAUAAGCUCCUCUCCUCGCCUUUACAUCCACCACCAUCGAGGCGUAUUGCAAUGUUCGUGAAGUAGUCAAAGAGAUCAAGAGAUGUCUGAAGACAGUAAUGCCACUCGAUGGCUAGAGAAGGCAGCUCCUCAAUUAAGGUCGCUGUAAGCGCUGCAGAGGGCGUCCUUCUCACUCUCAAAUAAGAUGGAUAUGGUGUGUGUAAGGUUGUACCCACUGGUAAGACAAACACCCUUUUCCACAAAUAAAGAAACUCAUGUAAAGUUGCACAUAUUCAAACCUCACGUGACAAAGGUGGGUUGUGCACACAGAUCACAACAUAAAUACCAAUAAUGGCAUUAAAAUCGGAACCAUCUGUGCGUAAUGACGCAUCGUGCUCCGUGGCCUGGCUCUUUCUUUCACAGAUGUUGGCAUAUAAAAUAAAUUUGGCCCACAAAACUGAAUAUUAUAAUAUUCGUAUGUAGGCUUAAAGUAAAUAACUCAUCUGAUCACUGAAACAAAUCAUCUGUUCAGCCGCCGCAACAGCAGCAGGUGCAGCAGGACGGAGAGAGGACACGAAGACAUGUCAGGUGUUGUGCCAUAGAAUGCAACCCUGCCGUCAAAGCCCCCCCUGACAGGAGCGCGAUUGAAAGUACACAACAAGGCGGAAUAAUCCAAGUUUUUCUUACCAUUGGACUGAUUCUAGAGUGUGUGCCUUUAAUGAUUUCAUUCUGGCUAUUCAGAUAUGCCAAAAACAAUCGCCCUCUGAUUCGGAAUAUUUGCUGCCCCGCAAAUAUGUUCUCUACCUACACAGCAUAGUUUAAAUACCCAAGUACACCUCUGUAUGUGCAUUUUUUUAAAUACCUACAAACAGAACGAAAGUUUGCUGCUCCAUUUGACAUGUUGUCAUGAUCCAAUACUCGUGUUUUUUUUAAAUAUGAGAUAAUUUUUUCCACUUUAAGAAGCUAAUGAGUCGAUGGGAUUCAGGGGUGCAUGCUACGGCAUAACACCUAUCAAGCUGCGCAAGGAAGAAGGAGGAUAAUUGGGGAGACGAAUUAAGUAUCUUGUUAACUUCAUCAUGUGUGACUGUUUAUUGGAUAUUUAAUUUAAUGCGGUUUCAGCUGUGUUAAUUCGGUCAGGUGGAGUGUCCAAACCCGUGCCAAACACGCUUAUCAGAUCAGAUAUACAUCAUAAUAUAUCGAUAUAGAUCUACAUGUACUGACUCAGAAUAAAACUACAGCGGUCUGCUCCGUGUCGCUUCUUUUAAAACCAAACCAAGACCACACAACCGACGUUGCCCCCGUUUCGGCAGCAGCUCCUCCAUCUGCGUUGGCUCGUCUGCAUUAGAUGCACGAGAAUUGUCGUCUCUUGCGCCACAACACCCGGCCCCUCCAUGCUUGUGUUUUUCACAUUGGCAGUAGCGCGUGUGGGCAUGCCAUAUAUGGAGCGUCACAACGUAAAACACUGCCGUAAAACACUGCCGUAAAGCGUGUUUUUGCGACACUGCGAUAGAAAUGAUAGAGCUCAUGUAUCCCGAUAGAAAUUUUCUAUCGUUUAGAGGAAACAUACUGUUAUAUCGUGAAGCCUUAGUGUGAUCUUUCUAUCUAUCUAUCGAUACCUGUAAUGUGUUAUGAUCAGCUUAAAAUUGCAAUGUGCUGAGGACAUGACACAGGAUUGAUUGCAAAAAAUAUUUACAAAACAUAAAAAGAAAUAAACAAUGGACUCUGAAAUAAACAACAGACUGCUGGGCAACAAAAAAAAUAGUAACAUUCAUUCAAGCCUUUCACGUUACAAUUUUAAAAUUAAGUUAGUGGUGGAAACUUUGUAGAAACUGUGCGCCAUUCUGCUUCAGUUGGGGGAAGCACUCCAAUCAGGAGAAAGGCCUGUAGCUGUUGAUAAAUUGACGCCUCCAUUCUGAAGCGGGCUCGCUGAUGCUGCCAAAAUAGUGUCAAAGCUGUCGCAAACUGCUAGGAGCAAAUAAUUGCUGAGCUGUCGCAAAGAUGGCUAGCAGAGGAAGUGACGUCUGUUUUGCACAUGCGCAAGAUGGCAGCAUGUGUGGUGUCUCUGUUCAGUCUCUGCUCAGUGUUUGUCUGUUUUUAAUGUUUCCUUUUGGAUUAUAAUACUUAGUAUUUUUCCAUUGUGGACUAUUCAGUGUUCUAGUUUACUUAAAGAUUGCAUCAAGGUUGUGGAUUUUGGCAUUUUCCUUUGGGAAACAACUCUGCUCUACUUUGUUUGGCUACUCCAUAGGCCACCUGUUAGCCUUUAAAACCUACUCAAGACUAUGGGAGCUGCUAAAGUGUGGCUAGAUUGCAGACAAGAUCUGCAGCAGUACCCACAACAAGAAAAGCUCAGUAGCCUGAGGCCUACCUCAUCCACCCUGCUCUGCAGCCUGAGGCCGACCUCAUCCAACCAGCCCUGCAGCCUGAAGCCUACCUCAUCCACCCUGCCCGGCAGCCUGAGGCCAACCUCAUCCACCCUGCUCUGCAGCCUUAAGCCUAACUCAUCCAUCUAGCCCUGCAGCCUGGGGCCUACCUCAUCCACCCAGCUCUGCAGCCUGAGGCCUACCUCAUCCAUCCAGCCCUGCAGCCUGAAGCCUACCUAAUCCACCCUGCCCGGCAGCCUGAGGCCUACCUCAUCCACCCUGCUCUGCAGCCUUAGGCCAACCUCAUCCAUCUAGCCCUGCAGCCUGAGGCCUACCUCAUCCACCCUGCUCUGCAGCCUGAGGCCUACCUCAUCCACCCUGCUCUGCAGCCUGAGGCCUACCUCAUCCACCCAUCCCUGCAGCCUGAGGCCUACUACCCAGCUCUGCAGCUGAGGCCUAUUUCACCCAUCCUGCCUUGCUCAGGAGCCAGAACCCCCGGAAGGCGCCCGGACCGGAUUCUGUCUCCCCCUCUGUCCUGAAGCACUGUGCUGACCAGCUCGCCCCGGUGUUCACCAACAUCUUCAACACCUCUCUGGAGCUUUGUCAUGUCCCAGCAUGUUUUAAGGCCUCAACUAUCAUCCCCAUCCCCAAGAAGGCCAAGGUCACAGGCCUCAAUGACUAUAGACCUGUCGCCCUGACCUCUGUGGUCAUGAAGGUCAUGGAGCGCCUUGUCCUGGCUCACCUGAAGCGCAUCACUGAUCCUGUGCUGGACCCGUUGCAGUUUGCGUACAGAGCCAAUAGAUCCACAGAGGACACCGUGAACAUGGCUCUGCACUUCAUCUUAAACCAUCUGGACACUGCCGGCAACUAUGCCAGGAUCCUGUUCGCCGACUUCAGUUCAGCCUUCAACACCAUCCUACCAUCCAUCCUGGAGCACCAGCUGUCCCUGCUGCAAGUGCCUGCCUCCACCUGCAAGUGGAUUACAGACUUUCUGACCAACAGGUCUCAGCGGGUGAAGCUGGGGAAAAGCAUUUCCAACUCCAGGUCCACCAGCACCGGUUCCCCGCAGGGCUGUGUCCUGUCCCCGCUACUGUUCUCCCUGUACACCAACACCUGUGUCUCUCUCCACCCGUCAGUCAAGCUCCUCAAGUUUGCCGAUGACACUACCUUGGUGGGCCUCAUCUCCAAGGGGGACGAGUCGGCCUACAGGAGGGAGAUCGAGCGGCUGCGCAGUUGGUGCAGUAGCAACAACCUGGACCUUAAUCCCCAAAAGACAGUGGAGAUGGUGGUGAAUUUCCACAAGAACACAGCCCCUCCCCCUCCCAUCACGCUGGGAGGCACCCUGGUAAACUCUGUGUAGUCCUUUAAGCUCCUGGGCGUCACCAUCUCCCGGGACCUGAAGUGGGAAAUUAACAUCAUGUCCCUUUUGAAAAAGGCCCAGCAGAGACUGUUUUUCCUAAGGCAGCUGAGGAAGUACAGACUAUCAAGGACCAUGAUGACUCAGUUUUACACGGCCAUCAUUGAGUCCAUCCUCACCCACUCCAUCAUCACCUGGUUCCCUGCUGCAGCUGCAAGAGACCUUAUCAAGCUGCAGAGGGUGAUUCGUUCAGCGGAGAGGGUGAUUGGCCGCCCGCUGCCCUCCCUCAAGUCCCUGCACAACUCCAGGGCGCUGAGGAGGGCAAGAAAAUCAUGGCCAACCCCUCCCACCCUGGCCACAGUCUCCUCUCCCUGCUUCCCUCUGGGAGAAGGAUGCAGCUGCUGAAGGCCACCACAGCACGCCAUAGACUCAGUUUUUUCCCCUCUGCUGCCAGGCUGCUCAAUGAGUCUGGCUUCCCUCCUCACCCCGCCCACUAGGGACUUUGACACUGAACUACAUCUGCACUAUUGAUCCUACUGCACUUUAUAUUUAUCUAUUUUUCGUGUUGUUUGUGUUUUAUGUUAUCUGUGAAAAAACAUCCGAACACACUCAUGCUAUUGCCAAAGCAAAUUCCUAUGUGUUUUACACAAUGGCUAAUAAAGGAAUCUGAAUCUGAAUCUGAAUCAUGGCGAGUAUAAUUCUCGCCCUCCUGCCUGUGCUUUCUUUGUAUGUCAUCACGGUCAAAGGUUACUAGCUGGGCGCAGGACUUUGAUAUCAAUCAAGGGUGCUCGAUGCUUGAAAUGAGCCAGGUUUCAAAGCAUAUAAACUUUAAUUAUCUUUUAAGCCUUCUUCUCCUAAAGGACUGCUUUAUCCCAUCAAAUGACUCUCAGCCUGUUACGAUGAAUGAUGUCUGUAAGAAAAUCAAGAAGCAUUUUCAUGAAACACGUAUGUUGAAAUGUAUGAUCAUGCUUGUUGAUAUCAAGGAAUGUUCAGCCUAACCCAGGCCCUGUGUCUGAUGUGAUAUCACUACAAACCCCUGCUGAAUUUUUGAAUAGGUCUCGUAUUGGUUUUGUAUAUGAAUGUGAGAAGUCUUUUGCCCAAAAUUUAUAUGGCUAGAAUUUGGGCCAAAUCAACAAGUGCUGACAUUAUGGUUUUAUCUGAGACAUGGCUGAGUAGAUCUACGCCUGAUAGUCAUAUUUAUUUGGAUGCUGAUCGCUGUGCCAAAGGUGGAGGCGUAGCAAUUUAUGUUAAAAAUACAUUUCAGGCAACAGUACAAUUAUCCAAGUCUGUGCCUAAACAAUUUGAAUUGCUUGUCUUGAAAGUUGAAUUUACGAAGAGCUGUGUUAUGACAGUAGGGGGAUGUUAUAGACCUUCUGCCUUAAAGGAUACACUACUCUCAUUGUCUGACUGCUUAUCAACUAUUAACUACAAUGAUCUGCUUUUAAUAGGGGAUUUAAAUUGGGAUUGGUUAACCCCUGCUUCUGAUUCUUUUAAAUGUUUCUGUGACUCAGCCCUUUUGGCUUAAAUUAUUGACUCACCAACUAGGCCAAACCCUAAACGCCCUGAGAAGUCGACACUCCUUGACUUGAUUUUAACCAAUUUUCCCCAAAAAUACCAGGCUACCGCUGUGUUUGCAAAUGAUGUUAGUGAUCACUGCAUUAUUGCUUGUGUGAGAGACACAAAGUUAUCAAAGUGUAUCAUAAUUAGGCGUAAUUUUAAGUCAUUUUCCGAACAAGCCUUUUUAAAUGACAUAUAUCUAUGUGAUUGGACCAGGGUAAAUUUGAUUCCAGAUGCUGAGACAGCUUUACAGUAUUUUAAUUCCUUAUUUUUGGACAUUAUAGACAAACAUGCUCCUCUCAGAAAAUACAAGAUUAAAGGUCGUGAUAAUCCAUGGUUUUCAGAGCAACUGUCUGAUCUAAUUCAUAAACAAGAUCUUGCCAGGGCAACUGCAAGAAUAUCCAAAAAAAGCUCAGACUGGCAACUUUUUAGCCACCUGAGGAACAAGUGUGUCUCUCAGAUACGUAAAGCCUAGGCCUGUCACGAUAACAAAUUUUGCUGGACGAUAAUUGUGCUACAAAUUAUUGCCGAUAAACGAUAUUAUUGACACCGUUUUUUAAAUUAUAGAAAAUGAUAAUAUAUGGCAUAAUAAUGCGAGUACACCAUGCCAAAAGUGAUAAACUUCAAUUUCCGCUGUCUGUCAGCGCGCACCAUUUUGCACUGUUUUGUUUAUAUUUGCUUUGCUUGCCAAACGCUUCAGUAAACGGUACCUGUCGGGACGAUGGCUCUGCAGCACCUCCGGCGGUACUUUUUUUGCUCAGUUGGGAAAAAUGGAGGGGAUGAUUGUGCUUGAGGUGCGCAUGCAUGUUCGUCGUAUUCCCCUUCUUUGUCA
rnacentral:lncRNA from 1 species